rnacentral:rRNA from 1 species
GAUGAACGCUGGCGGCGUGCCUAAUACAUGCAAGUCGAGCGAACGGACGAGAAGCUUGCUUCUCUGAUGUUAGCGGCGGACGGGAGAGUAACACGUGGAUAACCUACCUAUAAGACUGGGAUAACUUCGGGAAACCGGAGCUAAUACCGGAUAAUAUCUUGAACCGCAUGGUUCAAAAGUGAAAUACGGUCUUGCUGUCACUAAUAGAUGGAUCCGCGCUGCAUUAGCUAGUUGGUAAGGUAACGGCUUACCAAGGCAACGAGGCAUAGCCGACCUGAGAGGGUGGUCGCCCACACUGGAGCUGAGACACGGUCCAGACUCCUACGGGAGGCAGCAGUAGGGAAUCUUACGCAAAGGGCGAAAGCCUGACGGAGCAACGCCGCGUGAGUGAUGAAGGUCUUCGGAUCGUAAAGCUCUGUUAUUAGGGAAGAACAUAUGUGUAAGUAACUGUGCACAUCUUGACGGUACCGAAUCAGAAAGCCCCGGCUAACUACGUG